rnacentral:lncRNA from 1 species
AUGAAGAUUUUAAUGGCAUCAUAUAUACAAGGCCAUGUUGUAAAUGAAAGUCUUUAUUGUUCAUUUUCAAUCAGGCAGAUGUUUUGUUGUCCUGAAGAUUUCAAGGGCAUUUAUGAUACCAGUCAGAUAGAACAGGUGAGCCUUGAAAAUAACUGUACUGUUUUGUUUAAGAAUAUGUGAUGAUCUCAGCCCAACUUGAACUCUCUCACUGAUGCCUUGAUGAUGUUCAAAGAUCUGAUAUUCUUUGUGUAUCCCAAAUGGCAUUAGAAUUGAAACAUGGAAAGGGGACUAAAAAUGGCUUCUCUGUUGUUACAGGCAGCCUGAUGGAUGCACAUGGGAUAGAAGAGCAAACAGCUAUUAAUUGACUGCUGCUCUGCACAGCUUUUGGGAUCCUAGCUUCCUGACAAGGGAUCAAACCUGUGACUGCUGCAGUGGAAGCUCAGCGCUAACCAUUGGACCCCAGGAAAUUCUCCAGCUUUCUAUUUUAAUAAAUGUUUAUAAAUCAUUCUGAAGUAUGCUCA